ACUUAAGUAUCUUAAAUUUUAAAGUUUAACUCUGAAGAAGUUAAUAUAGGUAAAUCCUCUUAAGUA
rnacentral:tRNA from 1 species